AAGUCCAGGGGAGUAAGGAAGGGCAUCGCCUCCUUUCGGUGGACACUCCCUUCUGAUGGGGAAUGGGAACUGCCUUCCCCCUGCGGCUCGCCUGCAGUGGUCCUGCUAGGGCCGCGUGGGUACCCGUGGGCACCGGUGAGCACCCGGGGGCACCCGAGGCUG
rnacentral:other from 1 species